CCUACGGGUGGCAGCAGUGAGGAAUAUUGGUCAAUGGGCUUACGCCUGAACCAGCCAAGUCGCGUGCGGGAAGACUGCCCUAUGGGUUGUAAACCUCUUUUGUCAGGGAGCAACGCCGGCUACGUGUAGCCGGACUGAGAGUACCUGCAGAAAAAGCAUCGGCUAACUCCGUGCCAGCCGCCGCGGUAAUACGGAGGAUGCGAGCGUUAUCCGGAUUGAUUGGGUUAAAAGGGUGCGUAGGCGGAAUGCCAAGUCAGCGGUAAAAUCGCGGGGCUCAACCUCGCUCCGCCGUUGAAACUGGCGGUCUUGAGUGGGCGAGAGGUAGGCGGAAUGCGUGGUGUAGCGGUGAAAUGCAUAGAUAUCACGCAGAACUCCGAUUGCGAAGGCAGCAUACCGGCGCCCAACUGACGCUGAAGCACGAAAGCGUGGGUAUCGAACAGGAUUAGAUACCCCAGUAGUC
rnacentral:rRNA from 1 species